rfam:Ktedonobacter sp. 13_2_20CM_53_11 13_2_20cm_scaffold_5687, whole genome shotgun sequence.
GUCAAUGGCCUCCCCAUUAAAUGGGGAGGCUUGUAAGAGCCAGUCUCUUGCAAGCCGAUUGACCAGACUUAGUUCUUGAGUGAUCGUUGUCGAGCUUCUCUGCGUCAAGGAUCACACUGAGAGAACUCCGAUGCUUCUAAGUGUUUCCGUUCGUACUGGCGGGUACUGCCCUAGCUCGCCACUCUACAACUGCUGAUUUAAAAGUGAUGAGGUCAGUCACGGUGAUGAGCAGAAAGUACCGGGAAGCAUCAUUGUCGAGGGGAAGAGAAA